rnacentral:rRNA from 1 species
GAUGAACGCUAGCGGCAGGCUUAAUACAUGCAAGUCGAGGGGUAGCAAGAUUGUAGCAAUACAAUUGUUGACGACCGGCAAACGGGUGCGGAACACGUACACAACCUUCCUACAAGUGGGGAAUAGCCCAGAGGAAUUUGGAUUAAUACCCCGUAACAUAGCGAUGUGGCAUCACAUUGCUAUUAUAGCCUCGGCGCUUGUUGAUGGGUGUGCGGCUGAUUAGAUAGUUGGCGGGGUAACGGCCCACCAAGUCUACGAUCAGUAGCUGAUGUGAGAGCAUGAUCAGCCACACGGGCACUGAGACACGGGCCCGACUCCUACGGGAGGCAGCAGUAAGGAAUAUUGGACAAUGGACGCAAGUCUGAUCCAGCCAUGCCGCGUGAAGGAUUAAGGUCCUCUGGAUUGUAAACUUCUUUUAUAAGGGACGAAAAAAGGUCUUUCUAGAUCGUCUGACGGUACCUUAUGAAUAAGCACCGGCUAACUCCGUGCCAGCCGCCGCGGUAACAC